AGCGAGCGGCGUCGCCUCGAACCGCUCAGCCUCUCGUCACGUUAAGCCUCCAUUUGGGUUGUCUGCUCGGUGGCGUCGAGGCACGAGCUGCAGAUUGUGAACUCAAAAUGGUGCUCCGCGGGCGUCCGGCCGGAGCCUCCGCCUGGAAGGAGCCGCGAGCCGGGGGCGCCGGGCUGGUCCCCCCGCAUUGUGUUCCCGAGGGGCCCGGCCGCGGUCGGCGUCGUGGUCAGGCCGGGAGGGCCACCGGGUGCGCGCCGCUGCGAGCCCGAGCGGAGCGGAGCCGCCGAGGGAUGGUUGCGCGCGACUGACUCCCUCGCGGUUAGAAUUAACGACGAGGGGAGCGGAGACCCUGGGAACGUGGCUGGAGCGAUCUCAGCACACGGUGACGGUCAGUUGGAAACGUGCAGGGGUGCUGACAGGUGCUUUCAGAGAAUGAAGAAGCUGUUGCAGGGAUGGAGAGCUGUUUGUUAAGAAUGCAUUCUUUCCCUGUAGCCCUCCAAAGGCUAUAGAGCUGUGUGCAGAGCUAGACAAUCUGGGCACCCAGCCAUAAAACAUCACUGCUGAAGCACAGAUAGUUGUUCGCACCCUCCUGAGCCCUCCUGGCUGCAACCACAGCAGAAGGAAUGGCCUUGGGAAAGCAGAGCUCACUGCUGUUUUGAACUCUUAAUAUUCCAUGUGGCUCUUUGAGUUCCAGCUGUGCAAUGGGACUUUGGUUUUCUAAGAUAGAGUAAUGAGUAAGAAUGGGUAAGGAUAUAGCUUCUAAAAUAUGUCUCUUCCAGGCCAAUGUACAUAAAUAUUUGCUCUAGGAAGUAGGAGUAGUGAGUUGUCUGUCCUGUGGUCUCCCUUUCCUUAUUUGCCUCUUUGUCACAGCACUCCUCUCCUGUUGGAGAGCAACCUGCCUGAAGACGCACAAGAUCACUGGGCCACUGGGUCACAGCACCCAGGACCCAAAGACUCAUCUGGAACCUGUCUUCCAGAGAUCCAGCUGUAGUGGCUCAGUUCCCGCUUCACUUCCUUAUUAAAAAAAUUUUUGUGCAGAAGUA